rnacentral:rRNA from 1 species
UACGAAGGGGGCUAGCGUUGUUCGGAAUUACUGGGCGUAAAGCGUGCGCAGGCGGCUUCCCAAGUCAGUGGUGAAAGCCCGGAGCUCAACUCCGGAAUUGCCAUUGAAACUGUGGAGCUCGAGAACGAGAGAGGUGAGUGGAAUUCCCAGUGUAGAGGUGAAAUUCGUAGAUAUUGGGAAGAACACCAGUGGCGAAGGCGGCUCACUGGCUCGUAACUGACGCUCAUGCACGACAGCGUGGGGAUCAAACAGG